AAUAGAUACCCCGGUAGUCCACGCUGUAAACGAUGCUGACUAGCUCUUGGAGGGUAUCGACCCCCUUUUGGAGCGAAGCUAACGCGUUAAGUCAGCCGCCUGGGGAGUACGAGCGCAAGCUUAAAACUCAAAGGAAUUGACGGGGACCUGCACAAGCGGUGGAGCGCGUGGUUUAAUUCGAUACAAAGCGAAGAACCUUACCAAGGCUUGACAUCUCUGGAACCUCUAAGAAACUAGAGGGUGCCGAAAGGAGCCAGAUGACAGGUGCUGCACGGUUGUCGUCAGCUCGUGCUGUGAAGUGUCCCGUUCAGUCGGUUAACGAGCGCAACCCUUAUCCUGUGUUACAAGUGUCACAGGAAACUGCCCCAGUUAAUGGGGAGGAAGGUGAGGAUGACGUCAAAUCAGCGUGGCUCUUACGCCUUGGGCUACACACACGCUACAAUGGGAAGUAACAAUGGGUCGCCAACUCGCGAGAGGGAGCUAAUCCUAUCAAACCUUCCCCCAAUUCGGAUUAGAGGCUGCAACUCGCCUCUA
rnacentral:rRNA from 1 species